GAGGGGUGAGAAAAAGUCGUAUAAAAGGCGAGAGAAAAGUCGAUAGGGAAUAGUCGUGUGAGCAUCUCCGACACGGCAACAACUUCAGUGCACUUUUGCAAUCAGCUCUCAGCUAUCUGCCAUCAUCAGUUUUUAAUCAUGGUUGUAUACAAGGAGAAAGAAAAGGCGAAAGAAAUCAGUCGAGUGAGCAUCUCCGAUAUGCAAUGAGUUGCGGUGCACAGCAGCAACUGCAGUGCACUAUUUUACACCAACUGCAUUCUUCGUCGAGGUGCUAGUUUUAAAUCAUGGUAAACUUUGGCGUCGCGUGCUGCUGUUGGGUGUUGUAUAGUUGACGGCUGGUUCAGCCAUGGUGUACCAAUGUCUCCUGGGUAUGGUGGACAACAAAUCGCAACGCCGCCACCUUACUACACAACAUACGACACGACCAGUUGCUUCACCAAGGCCCCCAAGUACUACACCACCAAGGCUUAACAUUAUUGUACCAAAACUUAUGCUGCCUGAGCUACUACACCGAAGCCCCGAAGCAUUAUUCUUCCCCGAGGUACACAACCAGAGGUUCGAGUACUACAGCGAUGCACCGGAGUACUGCACCACCAAGGCACCGGAGUACUGCACCACCACAUAUUUCAUGGUUCUUAGAAAAGAUGAAACAAAUCAGUCAUCUCCGACACGACAACAUCAAUUGCAGUGCCAAGGCUUAGUAUUACACCACAAUUUAUGUUGCCCCGAGACUCUACACCAAAGCGCCUAAGUGCUAUAUCGAGGUCACUAAUUACUACACCACCAAGGCACCGGAUUACUACACUAAACAUACGCUGCUCCAGCUUAUUACACCGAGGCUCCCCAACACUACACCGGAGUACUACUACAUAUCAUGGUCGUAUGAAAGGAGAGUAAAGGUGGAAGAAUUCAGCAACCGAGUGAGCAUUUCCGUUACAGCAACAGGAACUGCCGUGCACUAGUUGUCAUCAUCUUCAUUCUUCGUCGCGUUACAAGUGUUUAAUAAAGUCUAGUUAACUAUGGUGGCGUGCUGCUGUUGGGUGUUGUAUCGUUGAUGGCUGGGUCGACCACUGGUGUGUUGAUUUCUCCUGGGCAUGGCGGGCAUGAACAACAACAUACGCAACAACCGGUCACUACACUGAGGCCCCCAAGUUCUACACCACCAAGGCUCCAGAAGUACUACACCACGCAGGCACCACCAGAGUACUACACCACGCAGGCACCACCAGAGUACUACACCACGCAGGCACCACCAGAGUACUA
rnacentral:lncRNA from 1 species